GGACUACUAGGGUAUCUAAUCCUGUUUGCUCCCCACGCUUUCGAACAUGAGCGUCAGUACCGAGCCAGGUGGCCGCCUUCGCCACUGGUGUUCUUCCUAAUAUCUACGAAUUUCACCUCUACACUAGGAAUUCCGCCACCCUCUCUCGGACUCAAGCAUUCCCGUUUCAAAGGCAAUUCUGGAGUUGAGCCCCAGGCUUUCACCUCUGACAUGGAAUACCGCCUACGUUCGCUUUACGCCCAGUAAUUCCGAACAACGCUAGCCCCCUUCGUAUUACCGCGGCUGCUGGCAC
rnacentral:rRNA from 1 species